GAUGAACGCUGGCGGCAGGCCUAACACAUGCAAGUCGAGCGGAUGAAGGGAGCUUGCUCCUGGAUUCAGCGGCGGACGGGUGAGUAAUGCCUAGGAAUCUGCCUGGUAGUGGGGGAUAACGUCCGGAAACGGGCGCUAAUACCGCAUACGUCCUGAGGGAGAAAGUGGGGGAUCUUCGGACCUCACGCUAUCAGAUGAGCCUAGGUCGGAUUAGCUAGUUGGUGGGGUAAAGGCCUACCAAGGCGACGAUCCGUAACUGGUCUGAGAGGAUGAUCAGUCACACUGGAACUGAGACACGGUCCAGACUCCUACGGGAGGCAGCAGUGGGGAAUAUUGGACAAUGGGCGAAAGCCUGAUCCAGCCAUGCCGCGUGUGUGAAGAAGGUCUUCGGAUUGUAAAGCACUUUAAGUUGGGAGGAAGGGCAGUAAGUUAAUACCUUGCUGUUUUGACGUUACCAACAGAAUAAGCACCGGCUAACUUCGUG
rnacentral:rRNA from 1 species